UGCAGUUUUUUAAUGUAAACGUAUUAAAUUAGUGAAUGGUGAAUUUUAAAUUAUGUACGAUGAGGUACAUUAGGAGGCAAUUUUUUAUGCAAAACGGUAAAGUAAAAUGGUUCAACGCUGAAAAAGGUUUCGGUUUCAUCGAAGUUGAAGGUGGAGACGACGUAUUCGUACACUUCUCUGCAAUCAACGGCGAAGGUUUCAAAACACUUGACGAAGGCCAAGAAGUUAACUUCGAAAUCGUAGAAGGUAACCGCGGACCACAAGCAGCUAACGUAACAAAAGCAUAAAUGGCUUAAUAAGCCCCUGACGAUUCGUCGUCAGGGGCUUAU
rnacentral:other from 1 species